GACGAACGCUGGCGGCGUGCCUAAUACAUGCCAGUAGAACGCUGAAGAGAGGAGCUUGCUCUUCUUGGAUGAGUUGCGAACGGGUGAGUAACGCGUAGGUAACCUGCCUUGUAGCGGGGGAUAACUAUUGGAAACGAUAGCUAAUACCGCAUAACAAUGGAUGACACAUGUCAUUUAUUUGAAAGGGGCAAUUGCUCCACUACAAGAUGGACCUGCGUUGUAUUAGCUAGUAGGUGAGGUAAUGGCUCACCUAGGCGACGAUACAUAGCCGACCUGAGAGGGUGAUCGGCCACACUGGGACUGAGACACGGCCCAGACUCCUACGGGAGGCAGCAGUAGGGAAUCUUCGGCAAUGGGGGCAACCCUGACCGAGCAACGCCGCGGGAGUGAAGAAGGGUUUCGGAUCGUAAAGCUCUGUUGUAAGUCAAGAACGGGUGUGAGAGUGGAAAGUUCACACUGUGACGGUAGCUUACCAGAAAGGGACGGCUAACUACGUG
rnacentral:rRNA from 1 species